rnacentral:sRNA from 1 species
GGGUGUAGGAGCUACUUGGUGGCAGUGUCUGUCACCCCAUUGUUCCUUUCCUCCGUCACUGUUCCUGAAGCUGUGCACAUGGCUGAAGAGGCUGACUUCCACAACAGAGGACAGUGCUUUGGCCAAGGGUAAGUAAGAAGCCCUAUGCUCCUGCUAGAAUCUUCAAAUGAGCUUGCAAGAUUCCAGAGAUUGAGUUUGUAACCUGUUCCGUGUACCUCGGGCUGAUUCUGGAAUAUUUACAUACCUGUAAUGAAAUAU